GGUUGGUCUGAGUGCAGUGGUGUUUACAACUGAUCAAACAGUUAUAGAUUCCUUUGUUCCUUCUCCACUCCCACUGCUUCACUUGACCAGCAAAA
rnacentral:Y_RNA from 1 species